rnacentral:rRNA from 1 species
AUUGAACGCUGGCGGCAGGCCUAACACAUGCAAGUCGAACGAGUGGCGGACGGGUGAGUUAUGUCUGGGAAACUGCCUGAUGGAGGGGGAUAACUACUGGAAACGGUAGCUAAUACCGCAUACCCUCGGAUGUGCCCCGAUGGGAUUGGCUAGUAGGGGGGGUAACGGCUCACCUAGGCGACGAUCCCUAGCUGGUCUGAGAGGAGGACCAGCCACACUGGAACGGAGCCACGGGCCAGACUCCUACGGGAGGCAGCAGGGGGGAAUAUUGCACAAUGGGAGCAAGCCUGAUGCAGCCAUGCCGCGUGUAUGAAGAAGGCCUUCGGGUUGUAAAGUACUUUCAGCGGGGAGGCGUUACCCGCAGAAGAAGCACCGGCUAACUCCGUGCCAGCAGCCGCGGUAAUUC